rnacentral:lncRNA from 10 species
CAACCACAUUGAGACAUACUCUCCUUGUCCUUUAAUUGUUUAUAAUUUAAUUUUCUUCUGCUUGAAAUUUUGUCCAUUAUAAGCUAUUUUCAUAUUUGUGAGAAAAUGAAAUCACAGAAUUUCAAAAUUUUGGGGACGAAGAUAUACAACCUUCCACCAAAUCCAGUUUUCUGGCAAUGGAAAUCAGAGAAACACUGUUCCUGAAAGCUUCUGUCACUCAAGAAUCCAUGAAACAUUCAUGAACUUCACAUCAGAAGCCAAGCCCAGAAAAUAUGGGUUUAAGGUUUGCCUAUAUGUCCAAUACAAGAGAAAAAAGAACAUUCCACUUCUUUAGAAGGUUCUACUUUGAUCUCCUGGAAGAUUUCUGUAUUUGUCUUCUUAACUCUUGAGUUUUGUUGUUGCUAAUAUUGGAUGAAGAGGAGACAAAAUGAUUGGAUCUAGAGGAGCACCGACAAGCAAAUGGCAGAUUCCUAGGCCCUCACCAGAGGCUGAGCAGAUGUUGGUGCCAUGCUUGUACAAGUCUACGGAACCAUGAGCUAAAAUAAACCUUUUUUCUUUAGAAAUU